GAUGAAGAACGUAGCGAAAUGCGAUAAGUAGUGUGAAUUGCAGAAUUCAGUGAAUCAUCGAAUCUUUGAACGCACAUUGCGCCCUUUGGUAUUCCUUAGGGCAUGCCUGUUCGAGCGUCAUUUAAACCUUCCAGCUAAGCUUGGUGUUGGGUGACUGUCCGCUUCACUGCGGACUCGCCUCAAAAUUAUUGGCGGCCGGUACAUUGGCUUCGAGCGCAGCAGAAACGCGAACUCGGGCCCGUCGUAUUGGCUCCCAGAAGCUAUCUUCACAAUUUUGACCUCGGAUCAGGUAGGGAUACCCGCUGAACUUAAGCAUAUCAAUAAGCGGAGGA
rnacentral:misc_RNA from 1 species